AAAUAUAUUAAGAAAAAGUUUUUUGAGCGAUAACCUAGUGUUAUCGCUUUAUCUAUGUUAUACUUCUAAUUGUAGUUUUUGUACGGUAAUAUUGGCAAGUUUGUUUCAGACAACAUCUUUCCUAUUUCACCAUUCAAGUAAUUACAAAUCAAUUUUUUAUCCUAGGAGGAUGUUUAACAUGGAACAAGGUACAGUAAAAUGGUUCAACUCAGAAAAAGGCUACGGAUUUAUCACUGCUGAAAACGGAAACGACGUAUUCGUUCAUUUCUCAGCUAUCCAAGGCGACGGCUUCAAAACUUUAGAAGAAGGUCAAGCAGUGACUUUCGACGUUGAAGAAGGCCAACGUGGACCUCAAGCUACAAACGUUAACAAAGCUUAAUUAUAGUAGACUUUUAUGCCAGAUGCGUAAGCAUCUGGCUUUUUU
rnacentral:sRNA from 1 species